CUCCAGCCUGGGGGAUAUUGAGACCUUGUGUUGGAACAAAAAAAAGAGUGAAAUAUCAGGAUUCAUAUUCUAGAAGGAAAAAAAGUGAAGUAUUCAUGGGAAGAAUUUAUUGUUGCAUGAGCAAUCAAGCAACUACAUGAGUGAAAGAAUCAAGCAAAAAAGGAGAAAAUAAAGUAUAAAUUUAUGAUCACAUUUAUGCAUUUAUAUAAAAGUCUGUAUGCAAAAAAAGAGAUUAAAACAAUUUAGUGGACAAGCAAAAGGAAAGAUACAUGAAUCACCUGUAAUCCUGACAUUCUGAGAUCAUGUUUUAAAGUAUUUUCUUCUAGGAGAUAUCUGUGUAUUUAAAUAUUUAAAUAUUGGCUGGUCGUGUAAUUCCAGCACUUUGGGAGGCCAAAGCAGGACGACCACUUGAACCCAGGAAUUCAAGAGCAGCCUGAACAGCAAAAUGAGACCCCAUCUCUACAAAAACUAAAAAAGUUAACCAGGUGUGAUGGCAUGAACCUGUGGUCCCAGCUAGGCAGGGGCCUAAGGCAGGAAGAUUUUUUGAGCCUGGGAGGUUGAGGCUGCAGUGAGCCCUGUUCUCUCCACUGCAUUCUAGCCUAGGUGACAGAGUGAGAUGUUGUCUCAAAACAAAAAACAAAAGCAAAACCCUAAAUUAAAUAUAGACAAAACUAUAACAUAUUGUGUAUAUUGUUUUAUAUCCCGCUGUUUAAAACAGUUACCGUGGCUGGGUUGGAUGGCUCAUGUCUCUAAUCCUAGCACUUUGGGAAACCGAGGCAGGAGGAUCACUUGAGCCCAGAAGUUUGAGACCAGCCUGGGCAACAGAGAGAGAGCUCCUCUCUAUUAAAGAAAUUUUAGGCUGAGCAUGCUGGUUCACACCUGUAAUCCCAGUACUUUGGGAGGCCAAGGCAGGCAGAUCAUUUGAGGUCAGGAGUUUGAGACCAGCCUAGCCAACACGGUGAAACCCUGUCUCUAUUAAAAAUACAAAAAUUAGCCAGGUGUGGUGGUGCACAUCUGUAGGCCCAGCUACUCAGGAGGCUGUGGUUGGGAGAAUUGCUUGAGCCCAGGAGUUCGAGCUGUAGUGAGCUAUGAUUGUGCUACUGCACCCUAGCCUAGGUGACAGAGUGAGACUCCGUCUCAGAAAAAAAAAAAAGGGACAAGAAAAGCAAAGAGUUUUAAAUUAAAUUAUUUCCCCCAAGGUCCACUGGCUAGGAGGGACUGGGGCUGAGAUUCAUGGGUCUAUCUAGUCCUAGAGCUCGAGUGCUCAUCACUCUGCUGUACUCUCUUCUUUAUUGAGCUGGGACCAGAUCUGGCUUCAGGGUUUGUCAAAUAAGGUCAGUGUGUCCUGUCACUCACCAUGGUAAAUUACAUAGCCAGUUUGGCUCCUAGUCUUUUCUCCUUUUAUAGUUUGGCAGAUGGUUAUUGACAUUCUUGUAGUACUAUACGGUGAUCUUAGACAAAUCCUGUAGUAGGAAACCAAAUCAAAAAGGUCAGAACGUCCUUUGAGAGUCAGUAGAAAGAACCUGGUUUCUGUGUACCAAGCUAAAGAUAUGAAGUGGUCAUGCCCUUUUUCCUCCCCAGUUGUGAGGCUUAGGCUGUCUGAGAGUUACAUCCAUCAUCUCUUUGCUUCUGAAUCAUCAGUGAACAGAAAAUUGAGGACAAUCAGUAGACACAGGGGACAAGGGGUGGGAUUUUCUAUAAUAAAUGGUGGAAAGGAAGUACAGUGUCCAUUAAACAGGCAGGUGACAUUAACCAGGUAUAUGACAACACUGAAACCUAUUUUGUUUUUAAAUAAGAGAUGUGAAUCCUGAAACUCCAACAGUUGACAAGCUAAAAGUUAAAAUGCUUGAGAAUAUAUUUUGUACAAUCCCAAAUAUAUAGGCUUCAAGAGAACCACAACCUAGAGUGCCAGGAGCAAACUACUUUAAAGACAUGAGCUUUUUCUUUUUUCUUUUUUAGAGGCAAGGUCUCACUUUGUUACCCAGACUGGAGUGCAGUAGCAUGAUCACAGCUCACUGCAGCCUCGAAUUCCUGGCCUCGAGCAAUCCUCUUGCCUCAGCCUCCUACUACAAGCAAGCAAACAACACAUCUGGCUAAUUUUUUUUUAUUUUUGUACAGAUGCGGGGGGUCUCACUAUGUUGCCCAGGCUGGUCUUGAACCCCUGGCCUCAAGUUAUCCUCUUGCCUUGGCCUCCCAAAUUGCUGGGAAUACAGGUGAGAGCCACUGCACCUGGCCAAUGUGCACUUUUUAACUGAGAUGCCCAAGCUUUCUAAUCACAGUUCUAGUAAAAUGGCCAUGAGUAGUCCAUUUUGGUAGAGGAAUUAGAGCAGAAUGACAAAUAACUGCACAUUCUUGCUGGCCCUGAUUCUGCAUUUCUUUGUUCUGAUAUGAUGAAAUUUUAAUUUUUAUAAAGUGGUUGCCCAACUGGAGGGAGGUUUAAGGAAUGCUUUCCCUUUAGUUAGUUCAUUAAAAGUAAACACACUUUUGCAUUCUUUCCCAAAUCCAGUCUCAGUACUGCGGUUAGUUAGGCUUGUCUGCAGCUAAUCAUUGUAUCAGAUUUGGGGAGUCAGUUAAUGGGCUAGUUAUUUGAACAAUUGACACUGAAUUUCUUUUCAUAGUAACGCCUAAGGUAAGCUCCAUACCUUUAUGAUAAAGGAUGGAUGCCAGAUUUGACUUCUGAUUUGGCUAUCUGAUGAAUUAGAGGCAUUUAACAAAAAAAUUAAUGUGACUUUGGUCUACACCAUCUUUGAAUAAAGUCCUCAGUUUUGUAUUCAGUGCAGCACUAAAUAUUCUUUACACAGUUUAUUGAGAGAUUAUUUUAAAAAAUCAGCCUUUAUGUAAGUAAAAGGAGAGGUUAUUCUUUCUUUCUUUCUUUUCUUUCUUUCUUUCUUUUCUUUCUUUCUUUCUCUCUCUCUCUCUCUUUCUUUUUUCUGAGAUGGAGUUUUGCUCUUGUCACUCAGGCUGGAGUGCAAUGGUGCAAUCUCCGCCUUUGGGAUUGGAGCAAUUCUCCUGCCUCAGCCUCCUGAGUAGCUGGGAUUACAGGUGCCUGCCACCAUGCCUGGCUAGUUUCUGUAUUUUUAGUAGAGACGGGGGUUUCACCAUGUUGGCCAGGCUAGUUUCAAACUCCUGAUCUUAGGUAAUCCGCCCACCUCGGCCUCCCAAAGUUCUGAGAUUACAGGCGUGAGCCACUGUGCCCGGGCAGGUUAUUCCUUCUCUCUUUCUUCCCUCCCUCCUUCCCUCCCUCUCCUCCUCUCUUCCUUCCUUCCUUCCUUCCUUUCCUUUCCGUUUCUUCCUUUCUUCCUUUCUUUCUUCCUUUCUUCCUUUUCUUUCCUUUCUUUUUGAUGGAGUCUCACUCUGUCGCCCAGGCUGGAUUGCAGUGGCAGAAUCAUAGCCCACUACAGCCUUGAACUCCUGGGCUUAAGCAAUCCUCUCACCUCAACCUCCCAAGUAGCUGGGAUUACAGGUGCAUGCCAUCACACCCAGCUACUUUUUGCAUUUUUAGUAGAAACGGGGUUUCACCAUGUUGGCCAGACUGGUGUUGAACUCCCAAUCUCAAAUGAUCCGCCUACCUCAGCCUCCCAAAGUGCUGAGAUUACAGGUGUGAGCCACCUCGCCUGGACAGGUUAUUUUUUCAAUUAAAACAAUAGAUUAAGUGCUCACUCCAGCAGCACAUAUACCAAAAUUGGAACAAUACAGAGAAGAUCAGCAUGGCUCCUGCGCAAGGAUGACAUACAACUUCAUGAAGCGUUCCAUAUUUUAAAAAUUAAAAGAAACACACACACACACACAAAACCCCCAAUAGAUUAAAAUAUGUCCUGAAUCUGGCCAGUUGUGGUGGCACACACCUGUAAUCCUAUCACUCUGGGGGGCUGGAGCAGGCCGAUUGCUUGAGCUCAGAAAUUCUAGACCAGCCUGGGCAACAUGAUGAAACUCCUCUUUUUUUGUUAAAAUUUUUUAGUUUAAAAUGUAUAUUUAAAUUUUUAAAAAAUAUAUAUCUUGAAUCCAUCAUUAAGCAGCUCAUGUUCUCUCUCUGUCUUACUCUGCAGGCAUAUCAUUAGGUUAUUUUCCUCUUGAAGACAUCAAUUUUGUUUUGGUUUUCUUUUUGAGACAGGGCCUCACUCCUGUUGCCCAGUUUGGAGUGCAGUGGUGCAAUCUUGGCUCAACCUCUGAGUUCAGGUAAUCCUCCCACCUCAGCCUGCCUAGUAGCUGGGCUACAGGCGCGCACCACCAUGUCUGACUAAUUUUUGUAUAUUUUUGUAGAGAUCGAGUUUCACCAUGUUCCCCAGGCUGGUCUCAAUCUCUUGAACUCAGACGAUCUGCCUGCCUCUGCCUCCCAAAGUGCUGCAAUUAUCCUCAUGAACCACUCUGCUCAGUCGCCCUUGGUUUUCUUAAGUUUCAAGUAACAGAAAGCCCAGACAACUAUCUUCAACAAUAAGAAAAAUAUACUCUCCCUCACUCAAUAAGACGUUCAAAAGUGGGGCAGCCCCAGUGCUGCUUAAUCCAUGGCUCAGUGACCUCAUCAGGACCCUAUUUCUUUCUGUCGCUGCCGUUGUCAACAUGUUGACUUAUCCUCUGAUAGCUUUCGUUGUUGCGGAGUGGCUGCAGCAAUUCUAGGAAUCACAUUGGAACAACAACAACAACAAAAACAAUAUCCAAUGCAAGAAAUUAGGGUAUUUGGUAUUCUGUUUUAUCUUUUUCUUUUUUUCUUUCUUUUUUGAGACAGAGUCUUGCUCUGUCACCAGGCUGGAGUGCAGUGGCACAAUCUUGGCUCACUGCAACCUCCGCCUCCCAGGUUCAAACGAUUCCCCUGUCUCAGCCUCCUGAGUAGCUGGGUCUACAGGCAUGCACCACCAUGCCCAACUAAUUUUUUAUAUUUUAGUAGAGGUGGGGUUUCACCAUGUUGGCCAGGAUGGUCUUGAUCUCCUGACCUUGUGAUCCACUCACCUCAGCCUCCCAAAGUGCUGGGAUUACAGGCAUGAGCCACCGUGUCUGGCCCUCUUUUUUCAGUCCAGAAAAGAAAUACUCCAAAUAAACCCCCUGGAAGAUUCCUUUUUUUUUUUUUUUUUUUGAGAUGGAGGCUCGCUCUGUCACCCAGGCUAGAGUGCAGUGGCGCAAUCUCAGCUCAUUGCAACCUCUGCCUCCCAGGUUCAAGCAAUUCUCCUGCCUCAGACUCCUGAGUAGCUGGGAUUACAGGUGUCUGCCACCAUGCCUGGCUGAUUUUUUUGUAUUUUUAGGAGAGUUGGGGUUUCACCAUGUUGGCCAGGCUGGUUUCAAACUCCUGACCUCAAGUGAUCCACCUGCCUUGGCCUCCCGAAGUGUUAGGAUUACAGCGGUGAGUCACCACGCCCAGCCAGGUUCCUCUCUAUGUCAUUGAUGAGAUACUAGUCACAUGCUCACCCCAUAAACCAGUCACUGGGAAGGGGAAUGGAAUGGCCAUUAGAAUAUACAGGACUUAUCCCUGAGCUGAGCUCACUAUAGGGUUACUUUUCUUUUUCUUUUCCUUUUCCAUUUUUUUUUCCUUUUUUUUUUUUUUUUUUUUUGAGACGGAGUCUUGCUUUGUUGCCCAGGCUGGAGUACAGUGGUGCAAUCUUGGCUCACUGCAGCCUCCGCCUCGUGAGUUAAAGCUAUUCUCCUGUCUCAGCCUCGUGAGUAGCUGGGACUACAGGCACACGCCACUAUGCCUAGAUAAUUUUUGUAUUUUUAGUAGAGGGGUUAGACCAUAUUGGUCAGGCUGGUCUCGAACUCCUGACCUCAGAUGAUCCACCCCCCCCUCAGCCUCCCAAGGUGCUGGGAUUACAGGCAUGAGCCACCACGCCUGCCUGGCCUUAUAGGGUUACUUUUCUAGAGAGGAAAAAUUGGGUGUCUGUUGGCAAGGAAGAAAGAGAAUAGGUUGGGGUAAGCAAUCAAUACUGUGUGCCAUGUCCCUUAAAUAUUUUUCUCUUGCCCUCGGUAACACCUAUGACAUUUUAGCGAUCAUUAAUUUCACAUAAGUAGGCAGGACAGAGUUUGCAGAGUUGGAAUGGGACAGUCUGUUUGUGGAGGACUUAACAUCCUGAGGCAGAAAGGAGGCUUACAUGCAAUGAGGCAAGAGAAAUGUAGGUGGAUCAUUGAGGUGGGUUAGCUUGAGUUCACACCUAUCAACGAACCACCAUUUCUUAACCAACUGUGUUAAAAUAUGAUGUACAACAGGCGAAAGCCCUGGUAACCAGAAAUAAACCUGAAGCCAUACAAAAAGCUUAGAAAGCCUGUAUUUCCCUAGGAUUUUAUGCCAGCAAUACAGAAGCUGUAAAAACUGCCACCAACUGACCAGGGCACCAUAAUGACCUGGGCAGUCAUUGUCAUAAUGCACAGAGAAAUUGCAGAAAGGAAACAAAAUUGGUGGCUGGGUAUGGUGGCUCGUGCCUAUAAUCCCAGCACUUUGGGAAGUCAAGGCAGGAGGAUCACUUGAAUGCAGGAGUUUAAGACCAGCCUGGGCAACGUAACAAGAUUCUGUCUCUACAAAGAAAAGAAGAAAAAUUAGCCAGGUGUAGUGGCAAUCGCCCGUGGUUCCAGCUACUUGGGAGGCUGAGGUGGUAGGAUGGCUUGAGCCUGGGAGAUGGAGGCACAGUGAGCUGUGAUUGGGCCACUGUACUCUGCCUGUGUGACAGGGUGAGACCUUGUCUCAAAAACAAAAAUAAAAACAAAAAGAAAGAUAAAAGAAAAUUGGGCUUGUCAGAACAUUCACAGAGAGCUGGCAGAAAGUAGAAUAAAAAUGUAUAUUGUCCUUAUAUAUAGAUAUUAUCUCAUUUGAAUAUUCCAGUCCUAUCUUCUGUCUCACUAAUAAUAAUAGCAAAUGUUGGCCAGGCUCGGUGGCUCACGCCUAUAAUCCCAGCACUUUGGGAGGCUGAGGCGGGUAGAUCACGAGGUCAGGAGAUCGAGACCAUCCUGGCCAGCAUGGUGAAACCCUGUCUCUACUAAAAAUAAAAAAAUUAGCUGGGCGUGGUGGUGUGCGCCUGUAGUCCAAGCUACUCAGGAGGCUGAGACAGGAGAAUCACUUGAACCCAGGAGGCGGAGGUUGCAGUGAGUCAGGAUCGUACCAUUGCACACCAGCUUGGGAGACAGAGUGAGACUCUGUUUCAAAAAAAAAAAAAAAAGCAAACAUUUAAAUAGGAAUUACUGGGGACCUGACGCUGUCCUACACACUUUAUAUUAACUAAUUUGUUCAACAACACUGUAAGGUACUACUGUUAUCAUCACUCCCAUUUUAAAAAUGAAGGAAGAACUGAGGAACAGCCAGUCAUAGUCGCUUACGCCUGUAAUCCCAGCAUUUUGGGAGGCCGAGGUGGGCAGAUCACUUGAGGUCAGGAGUUUGAGACCAACCUGGCCAACAUUGUGAAACCCCAUCUCUACUAAAAAUACAAAAAUUAGCCGAGCAGGUGGUGCGUGCCUGUGGUCCCAGCUAUUAGGGAGGCUGAGGCAUGAGAAUCGCUUGAACCCAGGAGACAGAGACUGUGGUGAGCUGAGAUCAUGCCACUGCACUCCAGCCUAGGCAACAGAGCAAGACCCUGUCUCAAAAAAAGAAUUGAGGCACAGAGAGAUUGUGAAGAGAUCGUAAGUGGAAGAAACGGAGACUCCAUUAUUUAUUUUUUGCCCCUAGCCACUAUUCCCUAUGGCUUCUUUUAGGAAGAUUGAGCCUGUCAAAGAUGCCACUUUGAUAAGCUUUUGCCUUAACAAGUUAUUUCACUUAACUCUAGUAAAGAAUGUUAUACUAUACGAGCAUGUUAAAUAAUUCUUUGACCAUUAGUUUUCUUACUAGUUUUUUUUUAAUGAUUGUUUUGUGUUUAACAACAUUCUCUAAGUUUAAAUAGAAAAUUCAAGCAAGACUUCAGUUAACACCAGUGACAAACAUAGAGCUAGAAAUCAUACAUUAUUUGUGUGUGUGUAUGUUACGGGGGACUUUCUACUGUGACAAUAAAUAAUCUUAGAGGCAAUGAUAAUUAUAUUUGAAUGUGCAAGUCACUGUUUUUCUAGAAUACCUUUAAACACAUAAUUAGGUCUUUUAUUCUUAUAUUCUUUUUUUUUUUUUUUUUUUUUGAGAUGGAGUCUGGCUCUGCCACCUAGGCUGGAGUGCAGUGGUACAAUCUCAGCUCACUGCAAGCUCCUCCUCCCGGGUUCACACCAUUCUGCUGCCUCAGCCUCCCGAGUAGCUGGGACUACAGGCGCCCACCACCACACCCAGCUAAUUUUGUUUUGUAUUUUUAGUAGAGACGGGGUUUCACUGUGUUAUCCAGGAUGGUCU
rnacentral:lncRNA from 10 species